rnacentral:tRNA from 1 species
GCCGGUGUAGCUCAGUUGGCAGAGCAUCCGCCUUGUAAGCGGACGGUCAGCGGUUCGAAUCCGCUCACCGGCUCCA